GAUGAACGCUGGCGGCGUGCUUAACACAUGCAAGUCGAACGGAAAGGCUCCUGCCUGCAGGGGUACUCGAGUGGCGAACGGGUGAGUAACACGUGGGUGAUCUGCCCUGUACUUCGGGAUAAGCUUAGGAAACUGGGGCUAAUACCGGAUAUGACAAUCUCUUGGAUGGGGUUGUGGAAAGCUUUUGCGGUAUGGGAUGAGCUCGCGGCCUAUCAGCUUGUUGGUGGGGUAAUGGCCUACCAAGGCGUCGACGGGUAGCCGGCCUGAGAGGGUGUACGGCCACAUUGGGACUGAGAUACGGCCCAGACUCCUACGGGAGGCAGCAGUGGGGAAUAUUGCACAAUGGGCGGAAGCCUGAUGCAGCGACGCCGCGUGGGGGAUGACGGCCUUCGGGUUGUAAACUGCUUUCGCAAGCGACGAAGCGUUUGUGACGGUAGGUUGAGAAGAAGCACCGGCUAACUACGUG
rnacentral:rRNA from 1 species